CACACACACACAGACAGCAGCCGUAACUUUUGCUGAAGCUCAUCAAAAUUUGCUUCAACACGCCGCACACAGACACACACACAAAAUGGCGACAAAAGCUGAGACGCACACACACACACACAGAGCGUAAGAGUGAGUGCGAGAGAGAUGGAGCAAUGGCCGCAGUGGAGACAGCCAGAGAAAUGAGUCCCAUGUCUUUCAUUAAAACUUUCGGCAAAUUAUCGGAUCGUAGUGCGAGCUCUCCAGCCGCCCCCAGCCACGCCUCUCAUUUGUAUGAUUGUCAGUGUGUGUAACACUUUGGCGCUUGAGUAUUGUAAGGGGAAUAUACAUAUACAUAUAUAUGCGCUAUAUAAGCCAAGCAUGAGAACUUUAUAUAAAUAUUAAAGCAACGUUUUUUCUUUGAUUUCCUCGGGGAAGCCAGCUGCUAAGUAAAUGUGGAAAAAAGAAACACAGCCGCCACAAUGGACGCACAACAUUUCCCCUCAUUUUCCAGCAUCCAGUCAAAGGGGGUAGGUGGGAAAAAAAAAAUCAAAUAAAUUCGCGCAGGCGUUCUAAUUUUAGAAAAAGGACUAAAAA